UACGAAGGGUGCAAGCGUUGUUCGGAAUCAUUGGGCGUAAAGCGCGCGCAGGCGGAUUGAUAAGUCAGGUGUGAAAUCUCGAGGCUCAACCUCGAAACUGCGCCUGAAACUAUUAGUCUAGAGUGUCGGAGGGGGCAGGGGAAUUUCACGUGUAGGGGUAAAAUCCGUAGAGAUGUGAAGGAACACCGGAGGCGAAGGCGCCUGCCUGGACGACUACUGACGCUGAGGCGCGAAAGCGUGGGGAGCAAACAGG
rnacentral:rRNA from 1 species